rnacentral:rRNA from 1 species
AAACAUGUUCUGGUGUAAUUUUAUAUUAGAUCUAACCUGCUCAAUGAAACGUUGUUUUAAAUGGCCGCGGUAUUUUGACCGUGCGAAGGUAGCAUAAUCAUUUGUCUUUUAAUUGGAGGCUUGUAUGAAUGGUUGGAUGAAGGAGUGGCUUUCUUUAUAUUAUGGAAUUGAAUUUAACUUUUAAGUCAAAAGGCUUAGAUUUUUAAAUGGGACGAGAAGACCCUAUAGAAUUUUAUUUUUAUAUGAUUAAUUUAUUGUUUUGGUUAAUAUUUUAUUUAAUUAUUUUAAAAAUUUUGUUGGGGUGACAGUAAGAUUUAUUUAACUCUUAUAAUUAAUUUUUUAUUAAUUAGUAUAUAUUAGAUCCUUAAUUUAGGAUAAUUAGAUUAAAUUACCUUAGGGAUAACAGCGUAAUUCUACUGGAGAGUUCUUAUUGAUAGUGGGGUUUGCGACCUCGAUGUUGGAUUAAAAUAAGAUUUGAGUGCAGAAGCUUAAU